GUGGGGAAUCUUCCGCAAUGGACGAAAGUCUGACGGAGCAACGCCGCGUGAGUGAAGAAGGUUUUCGGAUCGUAAAGCUCUUUCGUUAGGGACGAACGUGCUCUUUGUGAAUAAUGAGGAGUAAUGACGGUACCUAAAUAAGAAGCCACGGCUAACUACGUGCCAGCAGCCGCGGUAAUACGUAGGUGGCAAGCGUUGUCCGGAAUUAUUGGGCGUAAAGCGCGCGCAGGCGGGAUAUCAAGUCUGUCUUAAAAGUGCGAGGCUCAACCUCGUGAGGGGACAGAAACUGGUAUUCUUGAGUGUCGGAGAGGAAAGUGGAAUUCCAAGGGUAGCGGUGAAAUGCGUAGAGAUUUGGAAGAACACCAGUGGCGAAGGCGACUUUCUGGACGAUGUCUGACGCUGAGGCGCGAAAGCUAGGGGAGCGAACGGGAUUAGAAACCCUAGUAGUCC
rnacentral:rRNA from 1 species